AAUGAACGUUGGCGGCGUGGAUUAGGCAUGCAAGCCGGACGCCCCGCAAGGGGAGUGGCGCAAGGGUGAGUAAGGCGAUGGUAACCAACCCCGCGGACGGGCAUAGCCGGGGGAAACCCCGGGUAAUUCCCGGCGACGCAGUGAGCUGGCAUCAGCUUAUUGCCAAAGGCUCCGGCCGCCGCAGGACGGGCCGUCGUGGUAUUAGGUUGUUGGUGGGGUGACGGCCCACCACGCCCGCGAUGCCUACCGGGUGUGAGAGGAUGGCCCGGCACACUGGGACUGAGACACUGCCCAGGCUCCUACGGGAGGCUGCAGUCGAGAAUCUUCGGCAAUGGGCGCAAGCCUGACCGAGCGACGCCGCGUGGAGGACGAAGGCCUUCGGGUUGUAAACUCCUGUCGAGGGGGAGGAAGGCGCAAGCUUGACCGAUCCCUGGAGGAAGCACGGGCUAAGUUCGUGCCAGCAGCCGCGGUAA
rnacentral:rRNA from 1 species